rnacentral:misc_RNA from 1 species
UACAAGCCGAUCACAGAAAACACAAGUGCGCCCAAGAGGGAGGGCGGUGCAAAGUAAGAUCCAGUCGCCUCACGGAGUACAGGCCUUAAGCAACACCUGCUGCUCCCCUCCUCUCCUUCCCGUGGUACGUACGCAUCACUUCCCUCCCCCGGCGACUUCUUCGGCUGCCUCUCGUACAAACAGCGCGAUACAGGUUCACAUACACAUAAACACAUAUGUGUACGAGCGCGGAGCAGAGAGUGCCGUUUUCUUUGGUCUUGCUUAUCGUGCUACUCUGCCGUUUCAACGUUGGGCUUGCCACUGUCUCGGUGCUCAUCGCCACCGUACCAAACAGCACCUCAGAACCCGCUCCCCUUCCCCCUCUCCGGCUCCGCCGUGUCUUCCCUUCGGAAAGUGCCGUACGCUGUGCAUGGGUCUUUUCGCUCUUUGUUGGCGUGCCCACCUCCCCUUUUCAUCGCUCUCCUCACGUGGGGCUCCGGUCACGAAAGACUACGUCACGUGCCGCGACUGCAGCUUCUCCGUGUCGUAUCGUGCGCUUGCCUCGUCACUCGGUCUCUCCUCCUACCCCAGCGCGGCUCUCCUGGGCAGGGCAGACUAGAGGAGGCCGGGAGGGGACAUCGAGGGCGUGCAGGCCGCAUGUGAAGCAGGCAUCUGAGCGUGAGACAGGGGGGAGACUGGCUUCGAUCCAAUCGUCGCGUCAGGCAAGCUGGAAGGCCUGCAGAGCUUCUUGUCCGUCACCUUAGCCUCUCCCAGCGGCAAGCAUUGCCACCGCCGCCGCCGUUCCUGCUAAUAACACCAACGUAUCCUUUACGUUUCGCAUGAAGCCGUCCUUCUACGCUGUGGCCGUCGGCAAAACACGUGGCAUCUACUCAACGUGGGCUCAGUGCUCUGAGCAGGUGACGGGGUAUCCAGGAAGCAUCUACAAGGGCUUCCGGACUUUGGACGAGGCCCGAAGCUUCUUGGCCGCUCAUCCCUUGCCCUCCACUGGCUCCGCCGUGAGCCUUGGCGGCGCCAGCAGCAGCAGUGUCGCUUCCCCGUAUCCACCCAGUCGCGACCAUGCCGCACUCGGAAGCAGCUAUUUCAAGGGGAGGCUGAAGCGAGAGACGAGGGACGACCUCUUGGCGGGUGAAGAAUCGGUGGAAGCGCGGCAGGCACGACGGCGCCGCGCGGAUCAUGCACAGAUUGCCGUCGCUCCUCCUGCAUCGUCCUCUAUGUCGACCUCUAUCUCUGCAGCGACUCCCUCGACGACAGCCUCGAAGCCGCUUGCCACCACCACCACGACCAGCUCACCUGGGGCUUUCGAGGUGGUUUACGUGGACGGUGCGUGCAGCCACAAUGGAACUUCCCAUGCGCGGGCCGGAUACGGCGGUUACUACGGCUCCAUGUCAGAUCCGCGCAACUUCUCGUGUCCGGUGCCGCUGACAGAGUCGCAGACGAACAACCGUGGAGAGGUGCGCGCCGUCAUACACGCGAUUGUUCAGGCUUUCGUCGAUGCUGGCGCACCUGCAGAUGCGCUGGAGGCGACCCACCUCGUCGACCCGUCGGCGUGGCCCCUCGUCAACCUCACACGACCACUGCCACAUCUCAUUAUCUACACAGACAGCCGCUAUGUUAUCGACGGGCUCACCCGGUACGCGAAGAAAUGGGUGCAGAACGGCUUCUUGCUGUCGACGAAUGAGCCGGUGCAAAACCAGGACUUGUGGAGGCAGCUGAUCCGGCUGCGCGACCGGUACAACACGCUUUACGCGAGGCAGCAGCACGACCAGCAGCGCGCGCGUCAAUGGGGUGACGGGCACCACAACGAGGCAGACCUUGCAGAGCCGGUACGGUACACGUGCCAGAACACCCUGAACGACAAGAGUGAGGGCGUUGAGCUGAUUCACGUGCGAGGUCACUCGAAGGUUCACGGUAACGAGAUGGCUGACUCGCUGGCGGUGAUGGGGUCUCGACUGCACAGAUCGUAGCGCGGUGCGUGCGUGCGUGUGCGUAGACGCAGAGGUACCCGUGACGUAUGCGUGACACAGAGAACGCGAGGUAACAGCUGUAUGUAUGCGCAAACGACUACACAAGAACACGCACCUGUGUUGGCGCCCCGCUCGCUGCGCACGAGCGUUCCUUGCAAGCACACACACACCCUCAGCGACAUACCCGAGGCGCUUCUUCCAUGCUUUGCCGGACGCUGCGCCACCCCCUCCCCGAGAGGUCACCCGUCGCGUACCAUCUCUUUGCUGAUCACAGUCGGCAUCGGCCCUUCUCACCCCUCCGACUCCUCUUACCCACCACUCUUCAG